UGGGGAAUAUUGCACAAUGGGCGCAAGCCUGAUGCAGCCAUGCCGCGUGUGUGAAGAAGGCCUUCGGGUUGUAAAGCACUUUCAGCGGGGAGGAAGGCGUUAAGGUUAAUAACCUUGGCGAUUGACGUUAUCCGCAGAAGAAGCACCGGCUAACUCCGUGCCAGCAGCCGCGGUAAUACGGAGGGUGCAAGCGUUAAUCGGAAUUACUGGGCGUAAAGCGCACGCAGGCGGUCUGUCAAGUCGGAUGUGAAAUCCCCGGGCUCAACCUGGGAACUGCAUUCGAAACUGGCAGGCUAGAGUCUUGUAGAGGGGGGUAGAAUUCCAGGUGUAGCGGUGAAAUGCGUAGAGAUCUGGAGGAAUACCGGUGGCGAAGGCGGCCCCCUGGACAAAGACUGACGCUCAGGUGCGAAAGCGUGGGGAGCAAACAGG
rnacentral:rRNA from 1 species